CAUCAAGCUAGGCUUUUUAAUAAAUAAAAACAAGUAAGCUUUAAAUUAAAUAACACGUUUGUGCCAUUAAAGCUUUAUAUCAAAUGUGACAACUCUUCCCAGUAGAUGUUUUUAUAAAACAGCAAUUUAAGUGAAAGAUAUUAUAAAUAAAAAACAAAAGCCACAGAGCAUAAUGAGCUUAACAACUUGACUUGAGAAUACAACAGUGCAUUUUUUAAAAAAUAAAAUAAAAUUAAAUAAGCUUUAAAACAAUACUGUGUGGCUUUACUUGUUGGACUUGGCUUAAGGUUUGUUAGCAUUUAAUAACACAAGCUCUGAACCUUUAAUAGGCUGAGUCUGUUUCUUCUUGUGUCAUUAGUUGUUGGUCGCAGGAUAAAAGAUGCUAAAUGAGUAAAUGCAAAUGCAAACUUUAUACAAAUAUUAGACCAAUAUAUAAAGUCUGCAUAGAAAAACAUUAUCAAACAAAAAUGGGGUAUAAAAGAACAAAUUACAAAUCACUUGUAAUUGUAGAAUUUAAUUAAUCUAUCCCCUAGCUUAGUGUUUGUUUUCUGAUAGCAAGCCAGCAAAUAGACAAAUCAAUAUAUAUACUAGAUAUAAACCACAUAUCCAGUAGAAAAAAGUAACAAUAACUUAAAAUAGAAAUAAAAAGAAAAUAGGACAGAACUUCUUUUAUUUGUUAGAAAAUGCUAUUUAAGUUCACAUUGUUUGAUGAUUUUAUGAAAAGUUUAAAAUAUGAUCAUAUGCUGCAACAAAAAUUCAGUUUUACAUAAAUAUUAUUGACUGAGGUUCUCGUUGCAGUGUACAGGAGAACUACAGUUUAAGAAUAGAUAUGCACAUAAUAGUGUAAGGAUGGCCAUAUCUCUCCAUAAUAUUAAAAUCUGCAAACUGUUAUGGAACUUCACGCGAGACAAGACCAUGAGAAUGGUCAGUCACUAAAACAAUAAACUUUCUAAUGUGAGAAGAAGAUCAGCUAGAAAAGCAGUUGUUCAGGUUGUCUCGAUCAUGCAUCCUGAGCCCCCCUCUUUGCCCUGGACUUUACCUUCUCCACCAGAGCAGCUCACUCACAUUCCACACAUAAUGUUAAAAUUCUUAAUAUGGUGUAUCUUGUGGCUUUAUAUUCAUGUUUGGUGUGAUUUUAAAUGUCUCUGUGUGAUUGGUAAAGUGGUCUUAAUUUCACUGUAAUAUUUUACAAUCUCCUUUAUAUCAGUUAACUUGGGUUUUGACUUUGAUAAGAUCUUUGCCAGAUGCUCCACUCCAGGCAAAAUGGUCUUCGCAUCAACUCAUGACCAGGCAAGAGUCUUGGUGAAGCUUUUAUUGUCUUGAAUUUAUGAUGAUUUGAGUAUUUAGGCAAAGGGUGCAGAAGUGUCCGUGGGAUCCUGUAGACAGGAUACCCCAUUGCAGGUUGUGAGUCUCAGAGCUCUGCAUCAGGAUUUAUAUGCUGCAAUGAAUUUCUACAUGGUCAGGUAUUCCUCUUUAACUCUUAAAUGUAUCUUUGAGUAAUUGAUGUUGUACAAUCUUGAUUGGCUUAUUUUGUUUAAUUAUGUGAACUGCAAUGG
ensembl:sense_overlapping